CCCGCUUCCCUGCUCCUCUCUCUCUCUCUCUCUGGCGAUUCCAGAUCUGGAUCUGGAUCUAGGGUUUUCCUCCAUGAAAAUUUCACCAGAUCUAUGAAGAUUCUGACCUCUCAGUUCUGAUUUAGGGUAUUUUUGGUGUUAUUGCUACCUUCGUCAAGGGUCAUGGUUUAAGGAAUGUGUCACGUUUCUUCAGAGAUUCCAGUCGGAAUCCGAGCCGAGAUAAUGGAUGCUCUAGGGUUUAUGAAGGUUUGAUGAACUCUGCUGCGUGUACCAGCGAAACACAAAGAUCCUCUUUAAAUGACUUCCGGUAAGACGAUUACGGUUCCGGCGUGCUGGACUGCCAUAUCUGUCAAAAAGGGUUCCUCAAAGAUAGUGGUUGUGGGUGGAAGACGAUGACACAAGCCUUGAAUCAAAUCCAUGUUUACUCGACCUCCAUAUUUUGAGGGUAGAAGUGAAGAUGACUUCUUUGACAGGACUUAAAGCAAGUUGAAGUUUGCACCAGAUAAGGGGAUGCGUUUAGAUGGUUGGCUGGAAAUCCUUCCCACAAACUGGAUAUAAUGGCUCAGUGUGGCUAGCAGUAAGUCCUGCUGACUUACUGCUGACCCUUCAGGCUCCACAUAAUCUUGAUGUCUUAUAAGUGAGUCGUUACCGUGUUAUGAAUGAAUCUGGGUGACCCCUGGUAUAUGAUUCUUUCUAAUCUCCAUCAAUAUGUUAUUAAACCAGGUGGGGUUUACAUAUUUGUGCAACAUGUAGCUGCCCAAGAUGGUACAUUUCCUAAAGUUAUACAACGCACUUUGGAUCCACUGUAGCAGGUGGUUGCGGAUGGAUGCCAUCUUACAAGGGAAACCGGAGACAGAGUAAUUCGAUUUGGGUUAUUUACAAAUGAGUCAUCUGAUCUGGGUAGUUGAAAUCCGAUUAUAUGAAGUCUUAAUAUGAUUGUAGAAGAGACGACUUCAUCCACCAGCGAAUCCAGUAUCAAGGGGAGCGGGAGCGGCAACAAACUUACUACUGCAACGGAUGAUGACCUAGAAUUUGAUAUUCAAGAGGGAUAUUCAGAUAGUUUUCUACGCUGGAUAACCAAUGGAGAGACUCUAUGCCACUAAUGUGUCCGCGUUGAUGAAAUGAGCUGUUUGAAACAGGUCGUGUUAGUUGACCACUAAUGCAUGAUUUUGUGUAUGUGAAUGCAUGACCGAUACUUGCACAUAUUGGAUCUCCGGUCUCCGUCAGUUACGAAACCUGUCCAAAGUGUAGAAGCCCACCAAAGUGAGGUAGGUUAACUGCUUAGCUUUCAACCCUUUUAAUGAAUGGGUUGUAGCAACCGGGUCAACAGACAAGACCGUGAAGUUGUUUGACUUGCGAAAGUUCCAGACGCAUCUCCAUAGUUUUGGUUUUCACAAGAGGAGGUGUGUCAAGUUGGAUGGAAUCCACAGAAUGAGUCGAUUUUAUCUUCUUGUUGUGCUAGUAGGAGACUCCUGGUGUGGUAUCUUAACAUCAACAAACGAUGAUGCUGUAGAUGGGCCACCCGAAUUGCUCUUUUGUCCAUGGCGGGCAUACAAGUAAAAUUUCGGAUUUCUCAUGGAAUCCAUGUGAUGACUGGGUCAUUGCUAGCGUUGCUGAAGAUAAUAUACUUCAAAUAUGGCAGAUGGCUGAAAAUAUCUACCACGUUGGUGGUGCGGCUCGAAGAGGCGAAGCGGAGCGACUUGUUAAGGGAGUGAAUUUGUUGGUGGCUUCCCCUGGUAGACUUCUUGAUCAUCUGCAGAACACCAAAGCCUUGACAGUCAUAAGUGGUUAUGAAGUCUCAAGUGAACUACAUGGUGUUAAUUUGUCUGUGGUUCUUACAGCCACAGUGGCUAUUGAUCCGAUUUUUGACCCAUUUCAUGAGUAUUUCCAUUCGAGGCGAUGACAUCAAGAGAAUAACCUUCUGAACACGAUUCUUAUAAUGUUUGGGAUCUUUUUCGUGCUUAUGAUGAUCAUGUAAAUCACUGAUCAGAAUGUUGGGAGUUUGAGUGUUUUAGUUGCUGGUUAUUGUUGGCAUCAUGUUGAUGAUAGUCAGAUAGUGUGUUCAUAUAAUACUUUGUAAUAGCACUUAUAAUGGUUCCACAUUUGUUGAAGAUGUGGAAUGGGAGUUGAACUUAAAGCAGAUUUGAGGUGCAUAUAUA